rnacentral:tRNA from 1 species
GUAAUUAGCUCAGUUGGUUAGAGCAUGAUGCUAAUAAUGCCAAGGUUGUGGGUUUGAUCCCUGUAUGGGCCA